CGCGGUAUUUUGACUGUGCGAAGGUAGCAUAAUCAUUUGUCUUUUAAUUGAAGACUUGUAUGAAUGGCUGAACGAGAAAAUAACUGUCUCUUUAAAAAAAUUUGAAUUUUACUUUUAAGUGAAAAGGCUUAAAUAAUUUUAAAGGACGAUAAGACCCUAUAAAUCUUUAUAUUAUUUUUCUUUAACUUUCAAAUUAUAUAUUAAAAGAAAUAAAAGAAAAAAAAUAUUAUAUUGGGGAGAUAAAAAUAUAAUUUUUAACUGUUUUAUAUAUAAAACAAUAAUUUUUGAUUUAUUAAAAAUUGAUCCUUUUUAAAGAUUUUAAGAUUAAGUUACUUUAGGGAUAACAGCGUAAUUUUUUUUGAGAGUUCUUAUCGAAAAAAAAGUUUGCGACCUCGAUGUUGAAUUAAAAAUAUCCUUAUAAGUGCAGAAGCUAUAAAGGAAAGUCUGUUCGACUUUUAAAAUUUUACAU
rnacentral:rRNA from 1 species